rnacentral:pre_miRNA from 1 species
CGAUGAUGAGUAUUGGUGAGGACCGGGUAAUCUGCAUCCUGAGGUUUAAAGCUUAAUUUACGCAGGAAAUUUGUAUACGCAUAUACGUAUGUGUAUUAGUAUACCUUUUAGUCCUCGGGAUGCGGAUUACCUCGUUCUUACUUACAAUACACGUACUCG